rnacentral:lncRNA from 1 species
UCUUUGCACAAGGAAGAUACAUUCCUUAAUUCAUAAUAUUUUGUAAUAUUUUGAAACAGCAAAUUUAAUAACACAAAAAUCCGUAUUUUCAUGCCAGUACCGGAAUACUGGCUACUUGGUUGGUGAUACCCUCGGGGACUACCAGUCCUUCAGCAGAGGCAUUGAGCCAGUGGUAGUAAUAAUAUUAACGGUACCAAUUUUUCUGCACCAGA